GACGUCCCCUUGAGGACCUCCAGCGACAUGGCGGCGAUGACGUCGGCCUGGCGGGCAAUGGCCUCGGAGCGCUCCACGGCUGUGGUUGGAUAAAACAGGGUAAACUUGACCUUCACCUGUACACACGGUACCUUACCUUCGGCGCCAAGGGAGGUAAUCAGUUGGGUUCCGUUUAUCAAAGCAAGGCCCUGGAACAUGGGACCAGCAGCUGAAAUGUACGUCGUCUGCGCAAACUUCCCAAAGCCAGUCGUGAUACCAUAGACAACUGAAACGAAAACGACACUCGGUAACCAUGACAACAGCCUUCUGAUGAAGCUGAUGAAGUGUUUGUUGCAUCACAAAGUCAAGAAUUUAUAACUCCGAAUGAUGUCUUCACUAAGUAGAAGUAGUAGACACUUAUUAUUGAAUUAAAAGCUAAAUUUAAUAAUUUUAAUAAUAGUUAUUGAAUUACUGAAACCAUCUCCUCCUCCAAGAAGCAAAGUUACUGACUAGUUUGUGAAUCUCCUUAAUGUGAUCGAUGAUACUCUGAUCGAUGCCAGGCAACAGUUUUGAUGUAUCAGAUAUUGGUUUAAUCGGUUAGAUAAGUUUUGAUGUGUCGGAUGAUACAGAUAAUAAAUAAUCUUGAUGUGUCA